UCCGUUUCCGGUUCCACCCCGAGUUCCGCCUCCGGUCUCUCCUCCGCCGGCGCAGGAUGGCGGCGGCCGCGGGCACAUCGAGGCAGGCGGGCGCGGCGCCCAGGGUGGGGCUGCUGUACGACCAGCGGAUGCUGAAGCACGCGCCUGCCGGGAAGAAAGAACGGGAGACCCCCGAGCGGCUACGCGCCAUCUGGCGCAAGCUCGCCGCCGAGGGCGUCACGUCCAGGUGUGUGGGCAUGAGGGCGAAGGAAGCCAAGGAAAAAUAUAUAGCCUCUGUCCAUGGCCCGAAUCACAUAGAUCUGAUAAGGAAUAUCAGCUCGAAGGAUAGUUCCGAGCGAAAAAAUACUGCUGAGAAACUCGAUUCCAUUUACUUCAACAAAGGCUCCUCAGAGUCUGCUUUCCUCGCAGCCGGUUCUGUCAUCGAGGUUGCUGAGAAGGUUGCAGCUGGUGAGCUGAGUUCUGCGAUCGCUCUAGUCAGGCCUCCAGGCCACCAUGCCGAACAUAGCAAGCCCAUGGGAUUUUGCCUCUUCAACAAUGUGGCAAUUGCAGCUAACUACCUCUUAAAUGAAAGGCCUGACCUAGGUAUCAGCAAGAUAUUAAUCGUCGAUUGGGAUGUUCAUCAUGGAAAUGGCACGCAGAACAUGUUUUAUAAUGACCCUCGUGUAUUGUUCUUUUCAGUGCACAGAUAUGAUGAUGGAAGCUUCUACCCUUAUGAAGCUGAUGCAUCACACGUUUUCAUUGGGGAUGAAACUGGUCGAGGGUACAACAUUAAUGUGCCCUGGGAGCAUGCGGAAUGCGGUGAUGCAGAUUAUGUUGCUGCAUGGGACCAUGUACUCCUUCCUGUUGCAGAAGCAUUUGAUCCUGAUAUAAUAUUACUGUCUGCUGGGUUUGACGCAGCACUGGGUGAUGAUAUGGGUAAUUGCUGCAUCACUCCAAAUGGAUAUGCACUGCUACUGACAAAGCUGUUAGGUUUUGCAAAAGGAAGGAUUGUGAUGGCCCUUGAAGGAGGUUAUAACCCUGAGUCCAUAGCAAACUCAGUUUGUGCUUGUGCAAAAGUAUUGUUGGGAGAUAAAUUCACACUUACCUCUCCAGAGAUGCAACCAUUCGAAUCUACAUGGAGAGUCAUACAAAUGGUACGCGAUGAAUUAAAGACAUACUGGCCUGUUUUGAGCAGUAAGCUUCCGGAGAACGUAUCUUUGAGGAGUACGCCCUCAUAUAUCCAGCCAUGCACUUCCUCUGGUUCUGAGUGAUGUUUUGAGUAUGAUAUGCUUGGAGAUCCGCAUUGUCAAAAGUUCAAUAUUUGGUAUGCCAGCUUUGGUUCAAACAUGUGGAAACCAAGAUUCUUGUGCUACAUCGAAGGGGGUAAGGUUGAUGGUAUGGGUGUAUCAUGUUUUGGUUCACAUGACACAAGCCCACGAAGAGGCACCAUGUGGAAAAUGUGUGUCAUACAUUUUUUUCAGGAGAUCCUCUAUCCCCUGUGGGGUACUGGUGGUGUUGCUUUCCUCAACCCUGAUAUAAACUACAGUGACAAGUCAAUGUCUGCAUGUACAAAAUAAUGCUUGAGCAGUUCAAUUACACGUUGUUUCAAGAGAACUGUUUAGUGAAGGAUAUCGGCGAAGAUGGAAAAAUCAAGUCUCCUGGCUCUCCUUUGAUUCGCUUGUCUGAAAGACUCUGCCUCUUCACAAAAAACUCUUCAUC